GUGCCUCUUUGCUCAGUUAGCAGGGGUACAUUUCCAUUUCCCAGCAUUCUUUGCUCACCACCUUCUGGCAGUUGUGGAUCACUUUAACAGCCACCAACCAUGUUGUGCAGAGAAGCCCUCUACACAGAGAAAACUUCAGUUCCACCACUGAUGCUGUUGGGCAUCAGCUUGCCAACACAAAGAGAGAUGCAAGAACCAAGAGAUUAGUGCAAAAGCAUUCACAGAUUGCUAUGUUAAAAGUUUACUUGUCUGAUGUUAAACUAAUAAACUUUGUCAGCUGCCCCAUAACAAA